UUCUCCUGCGGGGAGCUGCCUGUGUCCAGCUUAGGUCUCCUGUCUGCCAGGCUGGCAGUCUGUGGCGGUGUGUGCGUUGGGCUGAGUGUUGCUAAGCUGGGGUGAAUUGCAGAUGGGGUGCCAGAAGGGGGGGGAAAAAGAGAAAGAAAGGAAGGAAGGACUGAUUUAAAGCACUUCUCAGGUCCCUUUUAUCCCACCAGGAGGAUGGAGCAGAUCUGUUGUGCACAUCUACGGCUGCCAUCCUGUCCCCAGUGGUAGCCUGCGCGUUGGGGACUGCGGCCGUGUUGUGACUGAUCUGUCUCAGUGGGAGCCCUGGCUUUUGGCUGUGCAUCGCUGAAGCGUUGGGCCGCUGCUGAAUGCCUCGGACAAAACUCCUUGCUGCUCUUCCUUCAGAAGGCAGGAGAAGGAGGUGACCUGUACCUCACCACCCGGUGCAAAGUCCUUUCCGCCUAUCCUACCUGCAGACAACGAUGGAAGAGUCUUCUGAAGGCGUACUGAGAAGCUGUCUCCUUUCCCAGUUCAGCAUUCUCUUGUGAUGAUGGUAAAUGAGAGCCAGUGAUGGACACAGACUGAAAACAAAGCAAAAUGAAGGAGUUUUUAAUACACACUGACAGGGCUUGCAUCUGUGGGGCUCACUAAGAAGUGCCAAAUCUUCUUCAGCCAAUGAUAUAAUCCGAUCACUACAUAGCAGGACUUGGGUCAGUGUCCCAAAAGGAAGAUUAAAUAGGAGACACGGAUCUACUAAGAGACUAACAUGAAGUUAGAUAUGAAAAUAUGAGCAGAAAUUGUGAAGAAUUCCACAUACUCCGGAUGUGGAGCUACUCUGGUGCGUGGCAGUGUGGCCUCGGUGGUGGUGCUGCUACCAUGACCCUGUUCCCUGCUGCUCCCUGCAGAAAUCCCCCUGCAGAGGGAUGUGGAAAUGUUCAGCGAAACAUGGAGAACAAGCUUUGUAAAGAAAAGGGCAAGUAAUUGCAAACCUCUGGGCUGAGGAUAGUCCUGAUAAAGAGAUACUCCCAGCAAGUAUGGAACCACAAGGUUUCCCGAGAAUGUCAGUCUGAGGUACGGUUGUGUCCAACAUCAUAUAAGACACUAUCUACUUGAAGGUUGUAACCCUGUGUUGAAAAAAUAGUUACAAAGUGAUGCAGCAAAGAUGAUGGUCUAUAUCUCCUAUGCAGUUUUAAGAAUUUAAUGUACUGUACUUUUGAACAAAACUGCUACUAAUUUUGUGAAUGUUUUAAUUUCACAUUUAUUUAGUUAUUUUUGCCAGAAUUACUGGUUAAAGGCACACUCACAGAAUCACAGAAU